rnacentral:lncRNA from 1 species
UCGGGCAGCCUCGAUUUACAUAUGUUUUAACACGAGGACUUGGAACCUAGGCCUUUCUCCAACCUUCUUUUUGUUUUGUUCUGUUCUGUUUGGCACUCCCCCCCCCCCCCCCUGCAAUGGCCUCACUUUGGUUCUGUGGGCCAGGUGGGUGGUUAGCUGACUCAAAUCCUUGCAGACCCCCCCCCCCCAGGAAGGAGUGUGUGUGUGUGUGUGUGUGUGUGUGUGUGUGUGUGUGGUCUGCUCAGCUCAGCUCAUUUUCUUUCCCACUAUUUUUCUUCCAAUGGCCCUAGUUCUCGGUGUGGCCAUGUACACUAGGAGUAAUUGCUUUGCUGCCCCCCCCCCCCGCCCUCCCCCCUCCGAGGACUCAUGUUGGUGAGAUUGCAAGGUGCUAGGCGCUUCAUUUUCCAUUUCCCACACAGGAAAUUAAGCUUCUCCAUUCGAACUUUUUUUUAAAAAAACAAAACAAAACAAAAAAAGGAACCAACAUGAUGCGGAUGUGAAAAUUAAUCCCCCAAAAUAGCACAUGGCUUUUGAUUUUAUUGACCAGAACUUCACUUCGCCUAGCAGUGUAGGGUUUUGUUAUUGUUGUUGUUCUUUUUCAAAGCAAUGUUCCAGUAUGAUUGCUGUAUUUGGUUUGUUUUUGAUGGAGGCUUUGGCUUCCAGAGCCUCAGUUUCCUGCUCUCUCAGAUAGGGGGCGGGUCUGAAUGGUGCAGCCAGAUGAAUAUUGUUAGCUUUGUAAUAAUACCUUUAAUUGAAAAGGGAAGGUUUGAAUGGAAGCAGCCUUGAAACAUGGGGGAAUGCACGGUCACCCCACGACCUUAGGGGCUGCAUUUGAAACAUAGUUCGUGAAACGCUGCAGCUUUCCCGCCUUUUAAACAGUUGCCUUUUAAUUUUUUCCUUUUAUCAUUUAUGGAAGUGCUAAUGAAAAACUAAGCUGUGUAUCGUGAUUGUCACUGUCUUGCCAGGACAGUUGUCCCUGUUUAGGUCACGGUGGAAAAUAUGUUUGACCAUAUUAUUCACAGAAAAGGGAUUUUUUAUUCUGUGCAAGCAGUUUUAAGGAUAAAAGGAUGCAGGAUGUUAACUUCGGUCCCAAGGCAUAGAAAACUAGCUCGGAGUGUGUUGGGGCUUUUGUUUACAUUUACAUUUGAAGGAUGUUUUACAUUUUUAGACUGAAAGAAAUAAUAUUACAUAGAAAUAAGUAGGAAACAAAUCUUAGCAUGGAAAUGUGUUCAUUCUAAUGUGGUUUUUGAAAAGAGUCUCCAGAAAUAAACCGGAGAAAUAGUGAAUGAAUAUAAUCUGUGGGCCUUCAGUUAUGUUAAAUAAAGGUCUCCUGUUCUUUAUGACUUAAUUUUAUGCUACCUCAUGGGGGAAAACAAACAAAACAAAACAGAGCCAAACCCACGCUAAAGCUUCCAGGGUCUCUGUUUAAAUUGAUGAAAAAGAUACUGUUUGGUUUUUAAAUUUUAAUUCUGUAAAGUUCUAAGUAGCUUUAAUCUUUAGAUUACCUGAGAGAAAAAAUUUGACCCUUAAUUCAGAGAGUUUAAAACACAGUAUCUUGGACCGGCACCUUUUCAAAAACACGUUGCUGUGUCCAAUUACUUUUUAAAUAUUUUUCUAAAUUAGACAAUUUGAACAUAUCUGUUUGUGUAUCUAUCUAUCUAUAUAUGGAAUAAAAUAAUUUAAAAUGUUUAAAAUAAUAUGUGGUUUGGAAAAGCAGGCAAUGUUAAGAAAUAUACAGCUAUAUUUAACAAAUUCAGACAGUUUUUUUGAAAGUGAUUUAUAAGUACAGCUAAAAUUCAUGUUGAAGUCAAGAACAUUAAAAAUAUUUUCAUAUGUCACACUACUGAAAAUACUGGAUGCUUUUAUUAGCCGGUGCUUCUGGAAUUUUUCUUAGAUAACUAAAAAGGACUCAAGUCCGUGGAAAUACCUGUGUGUUCAGUUUAGAUUGCCUCCCCCCACC